UUGUUUCUAUUGUAUCACGUUCGUCACACUGGUUGUUGUAAGGUACCGUUCACAGAGGUUUGAUUUUACGCCUCUCGGCUCACUAAUGAUCCUUCCGCAGGUUCACCUACGGAAA
rnacentral:misc_RNA from 1 species